GACAGCGUAUCACAUGCCUUUGUCACUAUUGAGUUAUGUGUGAAAUUUGCCUGCUGCACGUAUUACAAAUGAUUCCAGCAUACACUGGGGCUUUUUUUUUUUUUAAACCCAUGCAGCAACAAGUGGCAGAAUCAAUGGUGUACAGUUAUUCAGCAGUGUAAUUCAUUUCACUGGCUUUGGCUUCUAGCCAGAUCGCCAUCUGUCUCCAGAUUUCCCUCUCCCGGUCUCUCCCUCUCUUUCGCUUAAAUUUGUCCUACAUUCCGUAAUGUUAUGUGCCUGUCAUCCUUAUCCUAUGCCAGAGGUACACUGCCAGCCUCACCCCCUUUCCAGAGUGGAGUUCUCUGUCUGACUUCAGUGGCUCCUGGGAUAUUCCACAUCAAUGCCAUGGGAAGACAAGGGUAAGAAAAAAAAAAGGAGUAAUGCAAUAACAAUUUUUAUAAUUAUAACACAAUUAUAAUAUUGUGGAAUCAAAUUGCUCCUGCUUCUGCCUUUUAUCCAAAGCCUGGAGACGGUUCUGCAUCACCCAGGAAGUUUCCCUGCUUCGUUAGAAUAUCUUUGUUUUCUUUAUCAUACGCUGGCACAGGACGCCAGUACACCACUCCAUGGAAUACCUGCUGUUGGACACUUGCAGAGCUCUGCCACCAAGCAACCUCCUGCACUGGAAAUUGGGCACUCCUCUAAGAUCUUAUGUGUGCUUGCUGUUUGAAGCUGCAGAAAUGUGAAUAAUCAAUUAAGUAUUGAUUUCUUGUAAGAUUUGGUAAAUUUCAAGACAAAGAGGAUGGCUUAAGGAAACACUGCAGGGACUUGGCGUAAAUUAGACAACUAACGGAGAUGCAGAAUAAAAUAACACCUCAAGUGAAGAUUUCCUUGGAAGAAUUAGCACUAGCUAUUGGAAGACAAUGGUGGAUUUAAUCAAAACAGAAGGCAUGCAAGAAUUUCACCCGUGAACGAGAAAAAGGAGCUAAUUAUAACCACCUUUUUAAUGGAGCUAAUUUGACUGGAUGGAUGCAAAUGUGCUUUCCUUUUGGAUGAAGAAACAUGCCUUUCAGCAUGAUCUUGGGAUCAUCUUAUCUGCUAAGCCUUGCAGCUCCUGUGCCCUUCCACACAUUUUUUAUUUCCAGAGAAGGUUUGGAUAUUAGCCACUGAUGAUCUCUUCCAAGAAGAAAGACUAUGCCAUCCUCUCAUUUGCCUUCUGAACAGCAGAGUGAAGAUUCUUUCCAAAACCAUAAUGGGUUUUUCAAUAUCCACACAGAAAAAGCCUUUCUCACUGUGGAUGAAAAGUACCAGUCUGGGGCUGGAGAGAUGGCUCAGCAGAUGAGAGCGCUAACUUCUCUUCCUGAGGUUCUGCAUUCAAUUCCCACAACCACGUGAUAGUUCACAACCAUCUGUAAUGGAAUAUGAUGCCAUCUACUGGUGUGUCUGAAUAUAGGUACAAUUACACAUAUAAUAAAAAAAAUCUUUAAA